CGUACACUCCUACGGGAGGCAGCAGUGGGGAAUAUUGCACAAUGGGCGCAAGCCUGAUGCAGCCAUGCCGCGUGUAUGAAGAAGGCCUUCGGGUUGUAAAGUACUUUCAGCGGGGAGGAAGGCGAUAAGGUUAAUAACCUUGUCGAUUGACGUUACCCGCAGAAGAAGCACCGGCUAACUCCGUGCCAGCAGCCGCGGUAAUACGGAGGGUGCAAGCGUUAAUCGGAAUUACUGGGCGUAAAGCGCACGCAGGCGGUCUGUCAAGUCGGAUGUGAAAUCCCCGGGCUCAACCUGGGAACUGCAUUCGAAACUGGCAGGCUAGAGUCUUGUAGAGGGGGGUAGAAUUCCAGGUGUAGCGGUGAAAUGCGUAGAGAUCUGGAGGAAUACCGGUGGCGAAGGCGGCCCCCUGGACAAAGACUGACGCUCAGGUGCGAAAGCGUGGGGAGCAAACAGGAUUAGAUACCCUAGUAGUCCCAUGAU
rnacentral:rRNA from 1 species